rnacentral:rRNA from 1 species
UAAGACGAACCGAGCGAACGUUGUUCGGAAUCACUGGGCUUAAAGGGUGCGUAGGCGGGCUGCCAAGUUUGAGGUGAAAUCCUCCGGCUCAACCGGGGAAGUGCCUUGAAUACUGGCGGUCUGGAGGGAGGUAGGGGCGUGCGGAACUAACGGUGGAGCGGUGAAAUGCGUUGAUAUCGUUAGGAACUCCGGUGGCGAAGGCGGCACGCUAGACCUCUUCUGACGCUGAGGCACGAAAGCCAGGGGAGCGAACGGGAUUAGAUACCCCGGUAGUCCUGGCCCUAAACGUUGAGAACUAGGUAGCAGGCCGGACAUGGGCUUGCUGCCGGAGCAAAAGUGCUAAGUUCUCCGCCUGGGGAGUAUGGUCGCAAGGCUG